UAGAUGCGAGAGUAGAGCAUAUCAAUAAGCGGAGGAAAAGAAACUAACAAGGAUUCCCUUAGUAACGGCGAGUGAAGCGGGAAGAGCUCAAAUUUGAAAUCUUCAAGUUCUACCUUGACGAAUUGUAGUUUAUAGAAGUGUUUUCUGUUAGUGGAGUGGCAAAAGUUCUCUGGAAUAGGACAUCAUAGAGGGUGAGAAUCCCGUAUUUGGUCAUUCCUCCUAGCUUUGUGAUACACUUUCAACGAGUCGGAUUGUUUGGGAAUGCAGUCCAAAAUGGGUGGUAAAUUUCAUCUAAAGCUAAAUAUUGACGAGAGACCGAUAGCGAACAAGUACCGUGAGGGAAAGAUGAAAAGAACUUUGAAAAGAGAGUUAAACAGUACGUGAAAUUGUCAAAAGGGAAGCGUUUGACACCAGUGUUGUUUUUCCGAAAAUCAAUUGACGAAUGUUUUAUUUUUGAGGAGUUAUGACUUCAUCGGCUUAGCUCUCUUCUUUAUGAAACUUUCUUAAUGCACUUUUCGGUUAACAAGGUCAACAUCAAUUUCUUUUGUUGUAAAAGGGUAUGAGGAGGGUGGCUUUCUUUUCGGAGAAAGUGUUUAUAGCCUUGUGCCUCUGCAAUCGGAGAGAUUGAGGUCUGCAGCGUAGAUCCUUCGGGGUUAGAUACGUUUGUGCUAAGUUAUAGCUUUUCAUAGACAACUUGUUGACUAUGUUUAGUCUUGUAGCUUACUCGCUGACGCUAUUUUACCUACGCUUAGGAUGUUGACGAGACUGUCGAUCUC
rnacentral:rRNA from 1 species